rnacentral:tRNA from 1 species
GAGGGUAGAGCUCAGUGGUAGAGCACGUGCUUAGCAUGCAUGAGGUCCUGGGUUCAAUCCCCAGUCCCUCCA